UGGGGAAUAUUGCACAAUGGGCGCAAGCCUGAUGCAGCCAUGCCGCGUGCGUGAAGAAGGCCUUCGGGUUGUAAAGCACUUUCAGCGAGGAGGAAGGUGGUGAGCUUAAUACGCUCAUCAAUUGACGUUACUCGCAGAAGAAGCACCGGCUAACUCCGUGCCAGCAGCCGCGGUAAUACGGAGGGUGCAAGCGUUAAUCGGAAUUACUGGGCGUAAAGCGCACGCAGGCGGUUUGUUAAGUCAGAUGUGAAAUCCCCGGGCUCAACCUGGGAACUGCAUUUGAAACUGGCAAGCUAGAGUCUCGUAGAGGGGGGUAGAAUUCCAGGUGUAGCGGUGAAAUGCGUAGAGAUCUGGAGGAAUACCGGUGGCGAAGGCGGCCCCCUGGACGAAGACUGACGCUCAGGUGCGAAAGCGUGGGGCAGCAAACAGGAUUAGAUACCCUGGUAGUCCACGCUGUAAACGAUGUCGAUUUUGGAGGUUGUGCCCUUGAGGCGUGGCUUCCGGAGCUAACGCGUUAAAUCGACCGCCUGGGGAGUACGGCCGCAAGGUUAAAACUCAAAGGAAUU
rnacentral:rRNA from 1 species